rnacentral:rRNA from 1 species
UGGGGAAUAUUGGACAAUGGGCGAAAGCCUGAUCCAGCCAUGCCGCGUGUGUGAAGAAGGUCUUCGGAUUGUAAAGCACUUUAAGUUGGGAGGAAGGGCAGUAAGCGAAUACCUUGCUGUUUUGACGUUACCGACAGAAUAAGCACCGGCUAACUCUGUGCCAGCAGCCGCGGUAAUACAGAGGGUGCAAGCGUUAAUCGGAAUUACUGGGCGUAAAGCGCGCGUAGGUGGUUCGUUAAGUUGAAUGUGAAAACCCCGGGCUCAACCUGGGAACUGCAUCCAAAACUGGCGAGCUAGAGGAGGGCAGAGGGUGGUGGAAUUUCCUGUGUAGCGGUGAAAUGCGUAGAUAUAGGGAGGAACACCAGUGGCGAAGGCGACCACCUGGGCUCAUACUGACACUGAGGUGCGAAAGCGUGGGGAGCAAACAGG